rnacentral:rRNA from 1 species
AUUGAACACUGGCGGCAGGCCUAACACAUGCAAGUCGAACGAGUGGCGGACGGGUGAGUAAUGUAUGGGAAACUGCCUGAUGGAGGGGGAUAACUACUGGAAACGGUAGCUAAUACCGCAUACCAUCGGAUGUGCCCAGAUGGGAUUAGAUUGGUGGUGGGGUAAAGGCUCACAAAGGCGACGAUCCCUAGCUGGUCUGAGAGGAUGACCAGCCACACUGGAACUGAGCAACGGUCCAGACUCCUACGGGAGGCAGCAGUGGGGAAUAUUGCACAAUGGUCGAAAGCCUGAUGCAGCCAUGCCGCGUGUAUGAAGAAGGCCUUCGGGUUGUAAAGUACUUUCAGCGGGGAGGCGUUACCCGCAGAAUAAGCACCGGCUAACUCCGUGCCAGCAGCCGCGGUAAUAC